rnacentral:rRNA from 1 species
UACGGGGGGGGCAAGCGUUGUUCGGAAUUACUGGGCGUAAAGGGCUCGUAGGCGGCCAACUAAGUCAGACGUGAAAUCCCUCGGCUUAACCGGGGAACUGCGUCUGAUACUGGAUGGCUUGAAUCCGGGAGAGGGAUGCGGAAUUCCAGGUGUAGCGGUGAAAUGCGUAGAUAUCAGGAGGAACACCGGUGGCGAAGGCGGCUCUCUGGACAGGUACCGACGCUGAGGCACGAAAGCUAGGGGAGCAAACAGG